UAAUAUGUGUUGUCAAAUGUUAUUCAAGAUUCGAUUGGCUCUGAUGCAAUCACCUUUCAAUUCUAUCUUUCUGAAUAUUUUUUUAACUGUAUUUCUGAACAUUUUCAAAUGUCUUGAAUAGGUUGGCAUAAGUACAGGGCGCAUACAUGCUCGUGGACCUGUUGGCGUCGACGGUCUUUUAACCACUCGGUGGUAGGUCUUUAUGCCAGUUGUUUUUCUGCAAUUCUUCAGCAAAUAAUAGAACUGUACUUUCAUAUGAGGAAGUGUUCUGCGUGCACCAUCUUCCCCUAUAGUUUCUUCAGUUUACGCAAGAUACUUCCUGGUUCUAAAGCAUUAGUACCUUUACUUAAUAUGUAUGCAUUGCUCUCCUCAUUAUAUAGCAUUCUGCGAGGGAGUGGACAAGUAGUGAACGGCGACAAGGGAGUUGUGUACACCCACAAGGAUCUUCCUUUGCAAUGAGGGUAAGACACGGUUUACGUUGCUUCGCUUCGAUAGAAUGCUUACUCACUGGAGUAUUUUACUGACCUUCAGCUCCUAUGUUUGCAGGUAGAGGAUUCCUGCUGUAGAGCAAUUUUUGUAGAAGAAUCCUCUUCAAAGCCCCCCUUCUCUCUGUGCGAGGAAUGAAGGAAGACAAGAGAGCAUUGUUGUUACUAUGUUUGCAGGUAGAGGAUUCCUGCUGUAGAGCAAUUUUUGUAGAAGAAUCCUCUUCAAAGCCCCCCUUCUCUCUGUGCGAGGAAUGAAGGAAGACAAGAGAGCAUUGUUGUUACUAUGUCGCUAUCUAGUUCCGUGAUUGUUCGUGUACAAUGAUUUAUCCAUACAAUGUCGUAGUUAUGGCACUAGUUGUUGUAACUGUAGAAUUGCAUCGGUACAUCUAUGCUACAUAUAUGAAGUAGCUGUACUGUUUCUGAUGAAGUCUCAAAUCCGUUGUCAUGUUGUCUUUCUAUGGCAAAGAGCACCUGAAAUGAAUGUAAUCGGCAUACAGUCUUCUUGAAAUGGCGCUUGACAUCAAGGGGCAGUGGCUGUAGAACCGCUGGCCUCGCAGCUUGCAAGCUGAGACAUCUGUUCGAAUCCUCUUG
rnacentral:lncRNA from 1 species